CAACCAUACAAGGAAGAGAAAACUUAAAUUAGCAAACUAGGGCUUGGCUUAGCGGUGGAAGGGGCUUGUCUCCUUCCACUGCACCUGGAUUCGAGCCCUAGCGUGCACGUCUGUC